rnacentral:rRNA from 1 species
CCUACGGGAGGCAGCAGUGGGGAAUCUUCCGCAAUGGGCGCAAGCCUGACGGAGUGACGCCGCGUGGGGGACGAAGGCCUUCGGGUCGUAAACCCCUGUCAGAGGGAAAGAAGGGUGGUGCGGUGAACAGCCGCAUCACUUGACGGUACCUUCAGAGGAAGCCCCGGCCAACUCUGUGCCAGCAGCCGCGGUAAGACAGAGGGGGCAAGCGUUGCUCGGAAUCACUGGGCGUAAAGGGCGCGUAGGCGGGACGGCAAGUCGGUCGUGAAAGCCCUCGGCUCAACCGAGGAGAGUCGGCCGAGACUGUCGUUCUUGAGGGAUGCAGAGGAGACUGGAAUUCCCGGUGUAGCGGUGAAAUGUGUAGAGAUCGGGAGGAACACCGGUGGCGAAGGCGGGUCUCUGGGCAUCUCCUGACGCUGAGGCGCGAAAGCGUGGGGAGCA